rnacentral:rRNA from 1 species
CCUACGGGAGGCAGCAGUGGGGAAUUUUGGACAAUGGGCGAAAGCCUGAUCCAGCAAUGCCGCGUGAGUGAAGAAGGCCUUCGGGUUGUAAAGCUCUUUUGUCGAGGGAAGAAACGGUGAGGGCUAAUAUCUCUUGCUAAUGACGGUACCUGAAGAAUAAGCACCGGCUAACUACGUGCCAGCAGCCGCGGUAAUACGUAGGGUGCAAGCGUUAAUCGGAAUUACUGGGCGUAAAGCGUGCGCAGGUCGGUUUUGUAAGUCUGUCGUGAAAUCCCCGGGCUCAACCUGGGAAUUGCGAUGGAGACUGCAAGGCUAGAAUCUGGCAGAGGGGGGUAGAAUUCCACGUGUAGCAGUGAAAUGCGUAGAGAUGUGGAGGAACACCGAUGGCGAAGGCAGCCCCCUGGGUCAAGAUUGACGCUCAUGCACGAAAGCGUGGGGAGCAAACAGGAUUAGAUACCCUGGUAGUCCACGCCCUAAACGAUGUCUACUAGUUGUCGGGUUUUAAUUAACUUGGUAACGCAGCUAACGCGUGAAGUAGACCGCCUGGGGAGUACGGUCGCAAGAUUAAAACUAAGGAAUUGACGCGNGAGAGNGCGAGACGACGACGAGGGAGGAGG